rnacentral:rRNA from 1 species
UACGGAGGGUGCAAGCGUUAUCCGGAUUCACUGGGUUUAAAGGGUGCGUAGGUGGGCCUGUAAGUCAGUGGUGAAAUCUCCGGGCUUAACCCGGAAACUGCCAUUGAUACUAUAGGUCUUGAAUAUUCUGGAGGUCAGCGGAAUAUGUUAUGUAGCGGUGAAAUGCUUAGAUAUGACAUAGAACACCAAUUGCGAAGGCAGCUGGCUACGGGAUGAUUGACACUGAGGCACGAAAGCGUGGGGAUCAAACAGG